rnacentral:rRNA from 1 species
ACGGAGGGUGCAAGCGUUGUUCGGAAUUACUGGGCGUAAAGGGCGCGUAGGUGGUUGUGUAAGUCAGAUGUGAAAUCCCGAGGCUCAACCUCGGAACUGCAUCUGAUACUGCAUGACUCGAGUGCAGCAGAGGGAAACGGAAUUCCUGGUGUAGAGGUGAAAUUCGUAGAUAUCAGGAGGAACACCGGUGGCGAAGGCGGUUUCCUGGGCUGACACUGACACUGAGGCGCGAAAGCGUGGGUAGCAAACAGGAUUAGAUACCCUGGUAGUCCACGCUGUAAACGGUGAAUACUGGGUGUGGGAGGUGUAAUGCCUUCUGUGCCGAAGCUAACGCGUUAAGUAUUCCGCCUGGGGAGUACGGCCGCAAGGUUG